CUUCCAAGCCUUUGAUUUUUGGAGGGAAUUUCUUAGAUUUAAUAACAUAGACUAUGUUCUCUAUAGUGUCCUCUUCCAAGUUGUAAAAGAAAGCUUUCCAUCCCAUGCGUUUAAUAAGGUCUGUAAUUUUCUCCAAAAUAAAAAUGUAACGA